UCUGAUUAUCAAGAAGCUUUAUUGUCUUCAUCAGAUUGAACAUCAUCAUCUUCCUCUUCAUCAUCGUCACCAUCAUCAUCCUCCUCAUUAUAGUCAUCAUUCUCAAUAUCCUCAUCAUCUUCAUCAUCACCAUCAUCCUCCUUACCACCACCACUACCAUCAUCACCAUCUUCAUCAUCAACACCUGUGUGCUGGACGUCAGGAGGCUGUUAACAUGCAGCUGAGCCGGGCAGACAGACAGGAAGACAGACGGAUAACGGAGGAAACAGACAGACAGACAGAGGUAGGUCAGACAGAACGGACGCCAAAGGGGGGCAGAGAGGUAGACAGCUGGGCAGGUAGUCAAGUAGGGGAACAGACAGGUGGUCGUCAGGCAGAGACAGGCAGGUAGAUAUGAGGACUGUCUCAGGUAGUGGCAGACAGACAGGUGGUCGUCAGGCAGAGACAGGCAGGUAGAUAUGAGGACUGUCUCAGGUAGUGGCAGACAGACAGGUGGUCGUCAGGCAGAGACAGGCAGGUAGAUAUGAGGACUGUCUCAGGUAGUCACAGACAGACAGGUGGUCGUCAGGCAGAGACAGGCAGGUAGAUAUGAGGACUGUCUCAGGUAGUGGCAGACAGACAGGUGGUCGUCAGGCAGAGACAGGCAGGUAGAUAUGAGGACUCUCUCAGGUAGUCGCAGACAGACAGGUGGUCGUCAGGCAGAGACAGGCAGGUAGAUAUGAGGACUGUCUCAGGUAGUCGCAGACAGACAGGUGGUCGUGAGGCAGAGACAGGCAGGUAGAUAUGAGGACUGUCUCAGGUAGUGGCAGACAGACAGGUGGUCGUCAGGCAGAGACAGGCAGGUAGAUAUGAGGACUGUCUCAGGUAGUCGCAGACAGACAGGUGGUCGUCAGGCAGAGACAGGCAGGUAGAUAUGAGGACUGUCUCAGGUAGUCGCAGACAGACAGGUGGUCGUCAGGCAGAGACAGGCAGGUAGAUAUGAGGACUGUCUCAGGUAGUAGCAGACAGACAGGUGGUCGUCAGGCAGAGACAGGCAGGUAGAUAUGAG
ensembl:lncRNA